UACGGGGGGAGCAAGCGUUGUUCGGAUUUACUGGGCGUAAAGGGCGCGUAGGCGGCCAGCACAAGUCAGUUGUGAAAUCUCCGAGCUCAACUCGGAAAGGUCAACUGAUACUGUGCGGCUAGAGUGCAGAAGGGGCAACUGGAAUUCUCGGUGUAGCGGUGAAAUGCGUAGAUAUCGAGAGGAACACCUGCGGCGAAGGCGGGUUGCUGGGCUGACACUGACGCUGAGGCGCGAAAGCGUGGGGAGCAAACAGG
rnacentral:rRNA from 1 species